UGUUUUGAUAACAGUAAUGU
rnacentral:miRNA from 1 species